rnacentral:rRNA from 1 species
GAUGAACGCUGGCGGCGUGCCUAAUACAUGCAAGUCGAGCGAACGGACGAGAAGCUUGCUUCUCUGAUGUUAGCGGCGGGCGGGUGAGUAACACGUGGAUAACCUACCUAUAAGACUGGGAUAACUUCGGGAAACCGGAGCUAAUACCGGAUAAUAUUUUGAACCGCAUGGUUCAAAAGUGAAAGACGGUCUUGCUGUCACUUAUAGAUGGAUCCGCGCUGCAUUAGCUAGUUGGUAAGGUAACGGCUUACCAAGGCAACGAUGCAUAGCCGACCUGAGAGGGGGAUCGGCCACACUGGAACUGAGACACGGUCCAGACUCCUACGGGAGGCAGCAGUAGGGAAUCUUCCGCAAUGGGCGAAAGCCUGACGGAGCAACGCCGCGUGAGUGAUGAAGGUCUUCGGAUCGUAAAACUCUGUUAUUAGGGAAGAACAUAUGUGUAAGUAACUGUGCACAUCUUGACGGUACCUAAUCAGAAAGCCACGGCUAACUACGUG